rnacentral:rRNA from 1 species
UACGUAGGCAGCAAGCGUUGUUCGGAGUUACUGGGCGUAAAGGGUGUGUAGGCGGUUGUUUAAGUUUGGUGUGAAAUCUCCCGGCUCAACCGGGAGGUGCGCCGAAUACUGAAUGACUAGAGUGCGGGAGAGGAAAGUGGAAUUCCUGGUGUAGCGGUGAAAUGCGUAGAUAUCAGGAAGAACACCCGUGGCGAAGGCGGCUCUCUGGGACGGUACUGACGCUGAGACGCGAAAGCGUGGGGAGCGAACAGG